GCGAGCGAAAAGAAAACAGUUCAGCACUAAGUCAUUUUGUCUUUAUGGCAAAUAUGAGAUGCAGUGUAUGGAACAUCUAUAAUCUAAUAUGAAAAAUUAAUGAUUUAAGUCCUUCUUAAAUGAGGCCAUUUACCCAUAGAGGGUGCCAGGCCCGUGUAACAUUAAUGAUUAUUAGAAGAUGUUUCCAAAGAGUCGUGUUGCUUGAUAGUGCAGCACUAAGUUGGUGGUAAACUCCAUCUAAAACUAAAUAUAACCAUGAGACCGAUAGUAAACAAGUACCGUGAGGGAAAGUUGAAAAGAACUCUGAAUAGAGAGUUAAAUAGUACGUGAAACUGCUUAGAGGUUAAGCCCGAUGAACCUGAAUAUCCGUUAUGAAAAAUACAACAUUAUAUAUCUUAUAAUAUUAAUAGUAUAUUAUAGAAAUAGUGUGCAUUUUUUUCAUAUAAGGACAUUGUAAUCUAUUAACAUAUAUUUAUAUAUUUAUCAAAAAGUCAUUGGGAUAUAAGUUUAUUUGAAUUGAUUUGUAUUUAUACAUUUUAAUGAUAAUAAAUACCUAUGAUUUGAUAAAGUGUUGAUAGAUUUUAUAAUAUAGUGCUUAAAUUUAAUAAAUUUUGUAAUAAUAUAAUCGUCUUAUGAUUUUUAUAUUUAUUACAUGCGCUAAUAUGAUUAACAAUGCGAUAGAUUCAGGAUACCUUCGGGACCCGUCUUGAAACACGGACCAAGGAGUCUAACAUAUGUGCAAGUCAUUGGGAUUAAUUUAAUUUAAACCCAAAGGCGUAAUUAACUUAAAUUUUUUAUAUAUGGGAUUAGUUAUUAAUUUAUUUAUAAAUUAUUAAUUCAAUCCCGGGGCGUUCUAUAUAGUUAUGUAAUUUAUAAUAUUUAUAUUAUUUAUAACCUCUAACUGGAGCGUACCUUGAGCAUAUAUGUUGUGACCCGAAAGAUGGUGAACUAUACUUGAUCAGGUUGAAGUCAGGGGAAACCCUGAUGGAAGACCGAAACAGUUCUGACGUGCAAAUCGAUUGUCAGAAUUGAGUAUAGGGGCGUAAGACUAAUCGAACCAUCUAGUAGCUGGUUCCCUCCGAAGUUUCCCUCAGGAUAGCUGGUGCAUUUAAAAAUUAUGUAAAAUAAUCCUAUAUGGUAAAGCGAAUGAUUAGAGGCCUUAGGGUCGAAACGACCUUAACCUAUUCUCAAACUUUAAAUGGGUAAGAACCUCACCUUUCUUGAUAUGAAGGUUGAGGUUGUGAUAUAAUGUGCCCAGUGGGCCACUUUUGGUAAGCAGAACUGGCGCUGUGGGAUGAACC
rnacentral:rRNA from 1 species